ensembl:lncRNA novel transcript, antisense to PLXDC2
GACUCAGAAGCCCUCACUCACACAAUUUAGCACUUGUUUUUCUUAUUUUGCUCUUCAUGGACUAUUAUUUUCUAUUUUCUUGCUGAGCAAAGAAACCCCACACAAUCAAUAUAAAGAAAAACUAACUUUGAAACAACAUUCUUUUGAGGAUCUGUGAGAAGUGGAUGGGAAAUGAAAAACGCAACACGACAUGGGCUAUUUUCAGACUAUGAGGUCUCUUUCAUCAAAGUCAGCACUAGCUGUGAAGACCACCUGCUUCCAGUAAUUACCGUAAGCACACUCAGUGUCUCCGGAUUCAAAUGACCUAUUUCUUGGUGAAAUAAGACAUCUCUUAACUUCAACUGCGUUACAUAUACUCUCAACUCUAAAUUACUUAUUCACAGGAGACAAAUGCCUCUAGAUCAAUUCAAAGCACUGAUCUCGCUCAGUGGGCCCAUCAGAACUCGAAUCCCAAGGCACAAUAAGAAAACAAUCUGCCGAGUAUCCGACAGAAAUGAAUAGAUAGAUCUGAAAACCAGCCACAUGGAAAACUGCAAAACUGUUGUUCUGAAAUUUUUAUUCAGAGUAACUUAAGAAGGGAAUUAAUUUCGCUUUUUUUAAUGUAGGAAAGAAACAGACCCUACAUUUAGAAGAGUAGGUUGUUUGCUCAAUACUUAUAAUAAUUUCAUAGCACCAAUUAACACUUUCUUGCCUAGCUUCUGUCCUAAACACAUGCAUCUAUAAAUCUGCUUGGAUUUUCAAGUUUCAAGAUUAAAACAAAAUAUAUCUCAGUAAUCAGACAUAAAAAACAAUUACUUAGCUUUACAAAUUAAUAAUUCAUAUAGAAUAUAAGCUUGAGGUCCUUAGGCCUAAAUUAUUUCUCCUACUUGAUUCGUUUCUGCAUGUGGCAUGGUUGGUGUCUCUCUUUGUUUUGAGACUAUUUCCUGCCUUAAAAUCUGAGUACUUGUCCUCUUUCUUCUCUUCCACCUGCCCCUUGCCUCUUCAUUUGCUUCAUUUUCUCUUCUGCUGCUGCUGGCUGUUUAAAUACUCAUAAUUUUCUUCCCUUACUUUUUAUCACCAUCCUACACUCCUCUCCCUUCCCUCAUCUUUCCUUCCCUUCUCUUUUCUGUUCAUCCCAUUUUUAGGCUUCUAUUUUUAUCCCAAUUUUCUCCUACAAUCUUAUUUUCUUUCAGCGUGAUUUUAUUAUCUAUAAGGUAAUAAUUCCACAAUUAGUUUCUCUAGCCCUGAUUUAAAAAGUGGGUGACGAGGAGUCAUGCCCAAAUCAUUUAAUCAAAACUGAAACGUGCACAGAGAGAUUCGUUAUGCACAAGAUACUAAUUAGGACAAGAAACAGAGUGGAAAGACCUUUGAAAGGUCACACCGUGCCCUCCUUUUAUUCCAGCUAAGGCUUUUCCUAAAUCAGCAUUCCGGAAGUAUUCCAGGGAACACUCGUUCUGCAAAAUGGCUCUUGAAAAGAAGAAGAAGAAGAAAGAAGGAGUUCUAUGGCCAAAUUAAUUUGGGAAAAACUGCAUACUAUGUCUCCCUCAUGAAUUUCAAUGAACAUUAACAUUGUAAAAACUGAAACAUCUUAGAAGAGAAAUAUUUAUUUGCAUUUAACCCAACAUUACACAAACUCAUUUGACUCUGCAAGAUUUUUAAUAAGUCAUCUCAUCUUCAGAAACAUUCCUUUGGCCAUUGCAGCAACCUUUUAACUAUUUUCUUCUUUAAGCAUCAUCCUUCUCCAAUCCACUCCAAACUACCACCAGGAUCAUCCAUCUAAAACAUUAAUCACACCUCACAACUCGUCUGCCUAAAAUAAUCCAGUGGCACCAGGCUAUAUACAAGAUAACAUCUGUACUCCUCAGUAGAGCACAGAAUUUUUAGUAAUUCUAUCUUCAGCUUCCUUGCCUUCACUUUUUUUGCCACGAACUAGUCCUUAAUCCACUCUCCCUCAGGGUACCUAACACUGUAGUAUCACCAAAUUACCUAAAAUCUUAAAAAUGUCCACUUACACCUGAUCCUUUCCCUUCUCUCCCCUGUCAGGCUAUUCCAUAUUUUUUCCAUAGUUCUUAUGUAUGCUCCUUUUAAACACAUUUUCUCGAUCACUUUCUUUUAUGUCCAAGUAAGUUAGUUGUUCUUUGCCUUGUGUUUCCUCACCACUUUGUAAAUAUCUCUAGAAACAUGAAUCCCUCUGAAUUUAUUGCACCUAGGAAAUUGCAAGCCUGUAGACCUGUACUGUCUAAUACUGUAGGAUUAGCUACCAUGUGACUUUUGAGCACAUGAAAUGUAACUAGUUUAAACUGACAUGCUUUUAGCAUAAAAUACGCACU